CAGUCCGAUCUCGCGAGAGAGGACGGAAGCCUGUGGGAGCCCGUGGCCUUUAAAGUACGGUUCAGCCCUUUCCUCCAGGGGUGGUUUGUAAACACGGGGCUCCGGGCAGCCGAAGGGCGCAUGCAUUAGUGACCUGGAAAGGAAUACUUAGAUGGAAGUGUAAGAAGCACUGCUUACUUGAUAAGAGCUGAGGGAUUCCUGGCAGCUGAGUGAAUAAAGCUCAUGGCCCACCAGCUAGAAAGUAUCCUUGCCAUGAUAAAGAGGAUGUGAUAAGUUGUUUAACUUAUGAAAUUCAAGUUACGUGUGAAUCCUGCCAGGCAAUACAAGGACCUGUGGAAUAUGAGUGAUGACAAACCCUUUCUAUGCACUGCCCCUGGAUGUGGCCAGCGUUUUACCAACGAGGAUCAUUUGGCUGUCCAUAAACAUAAACAUGAGAUGACACUGAAAUUUGGUCCAGCACGUAAUGACAGUGUCAUUGUGGCUGAUCAGACCCCAACACCAACAAGAUUCUUGAAAAACUGUGAAGAAGUGGGAUUGUUUAAUGAGUUGGCAAGUCCAUUUGAGAAUGAAUUCAAGAAAGCCUCAGAAGACGACAUUAAAAAAAUGCCUCUAGAUUUAUCCCCUCUUGCAACACCCAUCAUAAGAAGCAAAAUCGAGGAGCCCUCUGUUGUGGAAACAACUCACCAGGAUAGUCCUUUACCUCAUCCGGAGUCCACUACCAGUGAUGAAAAGGAAGUACCAUUGGCACAAACUGCACAGCCCACAUCAGCUAUUGUUCGUCCAGCAUCGUUACAGGUUCCCAAUGUGCUGCUUACAAGUUCUGACUCAAGUGUAAUUAUUCAGCAGGCGGUACCCUCACCAACCUCAAGUACUGUAAUCACCCAGGCACCAUCCUCCAACAGGCCAAUUGUCCCUGUACCAGGCCCAUUUCCUCUUCUGUUGCAUCUUCCUAAUGGACAAACCAUGCCUGUUGCUAUUCCUGCAUCAAUUACAAGUUCUAAUGUGCAUGUUCCUGCCACAGUUCCACUUGUUCGACCAGUCACCAUGGUGCCUAGUGUUCCAGGAAUCCCAGGUCCUUCUUCCCCACAACCAGUUCAGUCAGAAGCAAAAAUGAGAUUAAAAGCUGCUUUGACCCAGCAACAUCCUCCAGUUACCAAUGGAGACACUGUCAAAAGUCACAGUAGUGGAUUAGUUAGGACUCAAUCAGAGGAAUCUCGACCACAAUCAUUACAGCAGCCAGCCACGUCCACUACAGAAACUCCGGCUUCUCCAGCUCACACAACUCCACAGACCCAAAACACAAGUGGUCGUCGAAGAAGAGCAGCUAAUGAAGAUCCUGAUGAAAAAAGGAGGAAGUUUCUAGAGAGAAAUAGAGCAGCAGCUUCAAGAUGCCGACAAAAAAGAAAAGUCUGGGUUCAGUCUUUAGAGAAGAAAGCAGAAGACUUGAGUUCAUUAAAUGGUCAACUGCAGUGAAUAUAAUGUUCAUGAAAGGUGCCAGAUUGACAGCUUUGGAAACUGAAGGGCUCUGUUUAUCCACAGACCAGUUGUCAAAUAAAAUUAAAAGUUUUUAAGAAGUAAAUGACAUAUUGGAGUUUCCAGAGUGUGAAGAGUUAACAUUCUUAUAGUGGACUCAGACGGAAAAAAUUUCUGUCUGCCAAUAGCAAAACCGUUAACUGUGAAGAACAGAACGACUUGUAAAGAAAAUUGAAUGUCAGAGAAAUAAUUAAACUCUACUUUAUGUGAAAACAUUCAUCAAUCCUACAUUUCCUUAAUAACCCUUCACAUGACAUACGGGCUCAGCUAAUAGGUAUGGUGGGCAGUAAUAAUCCAUAGUAACUUAUGUAUUAUGAACAAUAAAAGAUACAACAAAUGUUGGGGUGUGACUGUUUGUAUUUUUACUGAAUACAUAUUAGGUUUUAGGGAAAAUAUUAAUUAUAAAGCCUUAUUGCUCCAUUCACUGAAUUUUCAUGUUUCAGCUUUCUAAAAUUAUUGCUAAGACAGGUUAUCUUUCCUCAAAUUGUAUUAGAGACAUGGUAACCUAGAUGAAGACUUGGAUGCCAUUAGUUAUAAAUUAUUAUAUUUUUAAGUUGGUAUCUGAUUUUGUUAUGUUUUACUUGAAACGGUUUUAACCUGUUUAUGGUUUUGUCUUUUUAUUUUGGGAAUGUUUUAGCAUGUUUCCUUUAUGAACAAAAGACAGACUCUUCUCUUUACUAACAGUAGCUCCUUAACAACUACUUUAUGGGUAAAACUAGGAAAUUUUAUUGUAGAUUUUGCUUUUAAAACUCAGGUAUUGCAAAGAUGAGUGUGGAAGGAGAAGCUCAAUAAAUUUAUAGAAGCUUGGUUUGAUAGCUGGGUACGUGAGGAUAUUUCACUCAUAAGUUAAUGAUGUAGAAAAGGCUUUGUUUAUUGGUCCAUCGACUUAUAGGGAAUGGAAUCAAAUCUUUUGUUCUUGGUACCUAAGCAAUAUUUUGUUUCAGUAUUUACCACUUGAAAUAGGAAGGAAUAGCAACAAUUGGAAGAUGCCUACAAUACUUAAUUCCUAAAAGGAUACUAUUCUGAUGUAACUGUCUUCUUUCCCCCCCCCCCCGAGUUUUAACUGUAUUCCAAAGGGAGAAAAGAGGUGGUAGUGAUAGCACCUCUAUUUCAUGUAUUUUAUUCUGGGUUUGGGAUCUAAGUCCUUUUUUUAUUUGUAUUUUUUAACUAGUGUUUACUAGAAAUCUUUCUGAGCCUCUACUUCCCCAUUGGUCAAGCUGAUAGAACAAGUACUAUUAUGAGGAUCAAAUGAGAGAGCAUAUAGAAAAGACACUAUGCAAAUACUAGCUAUUUGUUACUCUGUCAUCAUAUAUUUACUGUGUACAAGGCUUGCUAUUAGACACUGGGGAUGCAACAAUGAAAAAGACCUAGUCCUUGCACUCAUGUAAUAUGUGGCCUAGCAGAGGAGACAGACAUGAAACAAGUCGUUAAUGUAUGAGAGAGAGUAGGACCCAUGUCAUUCCCAUUCAUUUUGCAUAGUAUUUUUAAAAUAUUGCCUACCUCUGUUAAGAACCUUGUCAUCAUUUUUUUUUUUUUUUAACCUACCGUUGUAGAUACAAAUUAAAAAAUUAUUUGGUUCUCAAGUAUAAGAUUUUGCUUCCAUGAUAACCCAUGGAACUGUGUGGUGGGAGUCUUAAUACUCAAUCAUUGAUUUUUAUGAAGAUUAUGAAAAGUUCGUAUCUAUAGCAAUGAGAAAAAUCCCCAAAGGAAGAAACUAUCCGAUAUUAUUUCUUUAGAUUUGCCGGUAGUGGCUGAAUUAGAAAGUCAGAGAUUAUAAAUUUAUAAAAUACCUGGUCAUCAGUCCAUGGCCAAAUAACAUUAAUCAAUUGAUUGUCCUGGCACAAUUUCUUCAGGCUGAUCUGCUUCAGAUAAACAGUGUAAAAAAAUAUUACGUGGUCUACUAGUAUGUAGUUAGAGGGCAGUGGUGGUUGAGUGGUAGAAUUCUCACCUUCCAUAUGGGCAGCCUGUGUUCCAUUGCCAGGCAUCGCAUCUCAAGCCCAGCCAUCACUCAUCUGUCAGUGGAGACUGUGUGUUGUUGUGAUGCUGACCAGGUUUCAGUGGAGUUUUCAGAUCAAGACACUAGAAGAAAGACCUGGCAAUCUACUUCCAAAAAUCAACCAGUGAAAACCCUGUGGAUCCCAGCAGUUUGAUCCUGUAGUGCAUGGGUCACAAUGAGCUGGAGACCAACUGGACAACAUCUAGCAACAACAAUAUGUAGUUAACCUUUGAGUAGCCGUCUUAAUAGAAUGGAGCAACGGUACUGCCCUACUUUUGUCGUCUUCUGCCUAAAUUGGUUAUAUAACCUUUAGUAGCAUACCCCUCCCAUUUUCAGCCUCUGUUUAAUCUGAUCUUGACCACUUGCAUAUGCUUACACUUCAGGCUAUGUAGCAAAACUAAAUCUGCUCGCUUUAAGUCUUGGUCCACUCUCAUUUCUGUUCUGCACCCCAACUCUGCUUGCUCUGAAAUAUUUCUCUCAGUCCCAACUCCUUCCACAUUUGCUGCUUUCAGUCUAUACCAGUUUUUAAAGAAGUCAAAUAUUAAGAUAUUUGUGUGACUUCUGGCCAACAUGGCACCAUAGACAGAAGCACCACUCUGCCCCUCCACAGUAAAGACCCAAAAAACUUAAGUAAAACAGAGACAUAUAUCAUUCCUGGAACCUGAAGUGUCAAAUGAAGAGAUAAAGAACUCAGCCAAACACUGAAUAGAAUAAGAAGCUGGCAGAGGACAGAAAACAAGGAGAGAAACCUGUGGAGGGCCCCUAUCAGCUAAUACAGCACGGAUCCACCAUCUUGGACUCUUUUCGGGGAUUGGCAGACAGGAGCACGGGAAAGCAGCUUCACAGAGCUCCCAGCAGGAGACGGAGCACCUGGUACUCUCCAAUACACGCUUUCCCACCCCUCAUCCUCUCUGCGCUGCUCUUACCUCCAAGCUUCCUGGCUGGCUGCGAUGGCCUAGCUGGCCAGGAGGUACAGUGUCCGUGCCACUUGGAUUUGCCCCACCCACAUUGGAGAGCAGCAGACAGAGUACGGGAAAGCAGCUUCACAAAGUUCUCAGCAGGAGACAGCACCUGGUAACAAGCAAUAUAUGCUUUCCUAACUACCACCGUUUUUCCCCUGCCCCCUUUGGCCUCAAGCUGCUUGGAUUUGCCCCGCCCACCGUGGCUGGCCCCCUGAGCUGGUGUUGCUUCUUUCUGUUUCUUUUGGUUUCUUCCGUGCCUCCCACCACUUCCCCCUCCCUUCUCUAGAAUACCUGGCUCUGUGUGUCAUCUUUGCUUCUUCUUGAAAGGCUGUGAAGCCCCGCUCUACUGGGGAGCUACUCCCCCAGCCCAUGGCGCCACACUGGUGGGAUCCCUGGGGCUUGCCUUUUUUGCUUGUUUUGUUUGUUUUCUAUUUCUUUUCACAGCUUGGGAGCCCCUUCUAGCCGGGCUGCGCUGUAUAGCUUAGGAAGCACUCCCCCAAUCUGCACAGCCACAUAGAUGGGAUUCUUGGGGGCAUUUCUUUUUUUCUGCCUUUCUUCAUUUCUCACUUCUCAGUUCUCAUCUCUCUAUACUUACGUUCAUUUCCUGUCUCCUGAAUACCUGGUGCUGUGUGACAUCAGUACCCCCUCUAGCCAGGCUAUACUGCACAGCCUGGGAGCCACUUCCCUGGUCUUCACAGCCCCACUAGUGGGACUCCUGGGGGCUUUUCCUUUUCCAAAUUUUUAUCUAGUUAUUAUUUUUUUCUUUUUUCCCCCCAUUUGGUUUUCUCCAUUUCACGGUUUCUCAUGUCUCCACUCCAACAGCAAGCUCCUUUAGCACUCUUUUUUUUUUUUAACCUUUUUUUGUUUUUGACUCGUGUUUCUCUUUCCUCUCUCUCCUCUUUCCCAUACCCCUAUUACCUCCACACAUCACAACCCACCCCCCACUUUCCUGCCUAUCUGCACUGUGCACUGAACUUCACACCCCAAGCAGCACAGGCAUGGCCUACCGGAACCUGCCUAGCACUGAUUCCUGGCUCACCCUGUCAGCCCUAGUAUGUGCCACAAACAAUCCAUCCCACCCUCUCCCCUUCCGUUGGACCUGGCAGACUGCACCGUAGCUGAGUGACUGGCCCUGCCCAUUGGACAAGGAGGUGAAAAGUAUCGCAACUACAGACGAACAAACAAUAAAGAACACACAGCCCACCUGCUCAGACAUAACCAAAUUAAACAAAAAAGCAGGAUGAAACAAAUCUACAAUCAAGAAAUGAAAAAAAUAACUACUGAAUGUCUUGAAGACAGCAGACAAUAUCAAAACAUAUUAAAAAAAAAAAAAAAAAAAGGAUGGUUCCAGUAGGCAUCCAAAAUAAAACACCAGAUGACUUUCCAGUAGAAGAAAAGGCACUAGAACUACCUGACAGGGAAUUCAACUCUCUUAAUAUUCAGAGCAAUCCAAGAGUUGAAGCAAAAAGCAGACAAAAAUGAGGAAAAAUAGACAAAUUUAUGGAAAAGGCAGACAAAUUCUUGGAAUAUACAGGCAAAUGGAAGAAUUCAGGGAAAUAAUAAGGAACAAAAUGCCAAAAUAAAUUCACAACUAGAAUCAUACAAAAACAAUUAGAAACCCAAAAGAUAUACAAGAUUUCAGAAAUGGGCGGUGUCAUAAAAGGGCUGAGGAGCAGGUUUGAAAUGAUGGAAGACGGGAUCAGUGAAAUUGAAGACAAAUACUCAGAUACAACUCUGAGGAAAGAUCAGAAGAACUAAGAAAAAUGAAGAAACCCUGAAAAUUAUGUGGGAUACAAUCAAAAGCAAAAAUUCGCAAGUGAUUGGGGUUCCAGAACAGGGAGAGAAAACACAGAGAAACAUUAAAGAAUUGCUGACAGAAAACUUCCCUAAUAUCAUGAAUGUUGAAAAGCUGACCAUCAAAGAAGCUUAAUGAACCCCGUAUAGGAUAGACCCCAAAACAAAAACACCAAGGCAUAUCAUAGUCACACUCGCUAAAACCAAGACAGAAAGUCCUGUGAGCAGCUUGGAAAAAAUCACAUACAGAGGAGAAAUAACAAGACUAAGCUCUGAUUAUUCGGCAGAAACCAUGCAGGCAAGAGGGCAAUGGGAUGACAUAAAACCUCAGAAGAAAAAAAUUGCUAACUGCAAAUAAUAUAUCCUCCAAAACUUUCAUUCAGAUGUGAUGGUGAAAUUAGGACAUUUCCAGAUACACAGAAAUUAAAAGAAUAGGUAAAAACCAAACCAAACUUGCAAAAAUUAUUAAACGGAGUCCUUCGGUCUGAGAACAGACAACAUCAGACCACAGCCUGAAUCUAGGAUGCAAAAUUGUACUAGUCAGGUACCAACCUAGGAAAUGAACUCUCAAAGACUAUCCAAAACCAAAAGAAUUGCAACAGAGAACCAGAGAGGUUAAUCUGUAAAUGACAACAAUGUCAGAACAAUAAAAGAAGGAAUAAACUGUAUAGAUAUAGAGCUUUCUAAAGGAGAAGAAAGCAAGGUGAUACCAAAUAAUAAUAGACUGGUUCAAAGCUAGGAAGAUAAGGGUAAAUUUCAAGGUAACCACAAGGAAAGUUAACAAACCCACUCAUCAAAAUAAAGAAGAAAAAUAUGCAUAAAGCCUCAAUAAAAACAAAACCUACAAAAACAAAUGAAAAAGAAAUCCAAGAUAUUUGUGAUAAUACAGACUAUAUAUAAUUUUAAUUUUAACCUUUCAUCCGAAAGUAGCUUCAGGAUCGUCAUUAGGAAAAUCCAUUACCAUUGUAAAACAUUUUAAAUCAGGAUGGUAUAAAAGGCUGGACUGAAUUUGUAUUAAGUGUACCUCGAAUUUGGUUUUUUGUUUGUUUUCUUUACUUAUCUCUGUAAUUUAAAAGUUAUGGGGGAAAACUGGUUAUAUGAAUUUUGGAUCAGUAUAAUUUUAUAGCAUAGAUGAGUAUUGUAUCUUAUUGAUAUAUAUGAGUCAUACUUACCUGAAAAUAUGUGAAGUUUUCAUUUUCAAUUUCCUUCUCUCUGGCCUUUUCAGUUGUUUGCCCUGGUAAGUGUGACUCCAAUUAAAAUUCAGUUACACAAAUUUAAGAUAAGUUGUAUCAAGAAUCAAAUGGCUUCCACAAUAGAUGGUUCCUGGUAGAACAGGAGAAAAAUGUGGAAAGGAACUCAAAUUCUUAAAAAGGCCAGACUUCACUGGACCAGUUGAGACUAGAGGACUCCCUGACACUGUCGCUCUGAGAUACUCUUUAAACCUUAAACCAAAAUUAUCUCUUGAGAUCUCCGAUUAGCUAAAUAACAGAUUGGCUCAUAACAUAAAGAAUAUCACACGUGAGUAAUGAGCUCCUGUAAAAAACCAUCUAUAUGAGACUAAAUGGUUAAAAAUUACUCUAAAACAAAGAAGAGAAGGUAAAGGGGCAGGAAAACUAGAGUACUGGAAAUGAUACAACCACAAUGGAAUGAAUGAGAAUGAUGAUACAUUGUCAAAAAUGUAACCAAUAUCACUGAAUAAUUUGUGUAGAAAUUGUUAAAUGGGAACCUAAUUUGCAGUGUCAACUUCUACCUUAAACACAAUAAAAUAAUAUUUUUAAAAAGGAAGAAUCAAGUGCCUUACCCGUAAGUCCUUAAUGUUCAUUAAACCCCCACUGUUAACUAGUGGCAUCUUCAGAUUUAUUUGUUAAUGAGCCAGGUAGUCUAAUUAGGUAGCAGUCAUAAUACCACCUACUGUUAAAUUAGAGGUAUAGAAACUGAUGUUCCAUUUAUCAGUUUUAAAAUCUGCUUAAAGAGAGGAUUUCAAUGUAUGUAUUUACUUUUAUUUGCAUGUAUGAGAAUAAUAUCAUAUUUUAAUACUUAUAAAAACCCAAAACCAAACCCAGUGCCGUCGAGUCGGUUCCGACUCAUAGCGACCCUAUAGGACAGAGUAGAAUUGCUCCAUAGAGUUUCCAGGGAACGCCUGGCAGAUUCGAACUGCCAACCCUUUGGUUAGCAGCUAUAGCACUUUAGCCACUACACCACCAGGGUUUCCCUUAAUACUUAUUAAAAAAAAAAAAUUUUUUUUUUUUAUAGAACUAUUUAAAUCAACAGUUUAAUAUCAGUUAGAUAAUCAGCUUAUAACUGCUUUCAGAAAUUUAUCUAAUAGCAUUUUGUUUCAUAAUAUGGUUUAUGGUGAGUGUAUAGAGUGUUUAGGACAGAAGGCAAUUAUGACUUAAAAUUGUGUCAUUGAAGAUGAUGCUGUAAAAUAUAGUAAUUUUCAUUUCAUAAUUGAGGAAAUUAGCAGUGUAGCUUUGUUAAUGAAGUUGUUGGUAUAAAUGAUGAAAUUAGGACCUCUGACCUAUUUUAUAUUGUUUAAGCUAUUUCAUUCACCUUCUUUGGUAUUUUUCAUCCCCUGGACACAGAAUUACCAUUGUUGUUGUUGUGUGCCGUCGGGUUGAUUUCAACUCAUAAUGACUCUAUAGGACAGAGUAGAACUGCCCCAUAGGGAUUCCAAGGGUGUAAUCUUUACUGAAGCAGAUUGCCACAUCUUUCUCCUGAGGAGUGGCUGGUGGGUUUGAACCGCCAACUUUUCAGUUAGCAGCUGAGCACUUAACCACUGCAGCACCAGGACUCCUUAGAAUUACCGUAAACCAAAGUGUUGCCAUCACAAUUCCAACUCAUAGUGACCAUAUAGAAUUACCAUAAUCCUCUCUAAAAUUAAAAAAAAAAAAAGGGAAACCCUGGUGGCAUAGGGGUUAAGUGCUACGGCUGCUAACCAAGAGGUCAGCAGUUCAAAUCCGCCAGGCGCUCCUUGGAAAUUCUAUCGGGCAGUUCUACUCUGUCCUGUAGGGUUGCUAUGAGUCGGAAUCGACUCGACGGCACUGGGGUUGGGGCUCUAAAAUUAAUGGUCCACUUAAUGCAUGUCAGGCAAUGUGUUUCAUUCUGGGAAUAGGGAGAUAAAAGAUCAUCCCUGCUUCUAAGAAAUUCCCAGUCAGGCAGAGGAGUCAAAUAAGUAUACCAAAAGUUACAAUCCAGUGUAUAUUUAUAUAUAACUGUGUAAGUUAUGAGUGGGAAUACAGAAAUGGUUACCUAACCUCUUUUUUCAACACAAGUGUAUAUAUAGUGCUGAGUUGGCUCUUGAAGAUGAAUGGAAUAGUUAGCAAGGCAAGGAAGGGAGGGAAAGGAUUUUCCAGAUAGAGAAGACAUUACUGUGUAGUUUUCAAGAUAAAAUUGCUGUUUUUAUAGGUAAAAAAAGAUGAUUAUUAGGUAUUUUAUAUGGCUCAAACUAAUAUGAAGGCAGCAAGGGUAUGACAUGCAUGAGACAUUACUAGCGUUUUGGUAUGACUAAAGGUUAGAGUAUGUUGGGAGAGCAGAAAAAGUUGAAAAUCAAGAUGGUUACAGUUGCCAGAUUAUGAAAGACAUUUUAUUCUUGACUAAAAAUACAUAUCCAGUCCUGUCUCAUGUUACAGAAAUUAAUGAGAGAAGUUGGAGAAGUAAGUCUCAAAAUCAAGCUAAUGUGGAAUCAGGCAGAGAGAGAGAAGAAAACUUUUACGAUAAUAUAUAUUGGAUUAUUUAUAACAUGGUUUCUCACCAAUAGUGUUGUUAAUAAAGGGCUAUAAUUAACCAUAUUAACAGUGGCAAUUGUAGUAUCCAUAGACAUGAGUUUUCUACAUAACAUCCUUUAAAGCAAAACUGUUGUACAUUUUAGCCUUCUGUACUUCAGUCAGUGUACACCCAUUCUUUUAUUUUUAUCAUGGUAACAUACAUAACAAAAUCCACCGUUUUAGCCACUUUUAAGUGUACAAUUCAUUGGCAUUAAGAACAUUCACAGUGUUGUAACCAUCACCACUAUCUACUUCCAGAGCGUUAUCACCCCAGACAGAAAUUCUGUGCCCAUCCUUCAUCAGUCACUCCCCACUCACCCCCUGCUUCUACACAUACUCAUUCUUGUCUCAAGUACAGUAUUCUAAAUGUAAUUAACUAUUUGAUUAAUGGUUCAGAGUUAUUAUGAGCAUCAGUUUUGUUCCGUGGCUUAAUACAAUGUUGUACUUCGUUGUUAUUGGAAUGUGAGGAACCAUUUGAUCCAUAUGCUUGCUUCCUACAUUUUCUAAUUUACUUUUGGGUUCAUGGAUGAAGUCUGAAUGGUUAAGCUUAGUGCAAGUCCAAAUAAGUAGAGGUGUUUGUAAAUUAAUAGUAUUUUUAUGUUAUCAAUUUCUUAAAUGUAUAUUGUUUCUAAUGCUUGAGUACUGGGAAUAGUCAUUAAUUUAUUGUGUCUUUUAUAUUUGGGAGUGACCCAAAGGAAUUAAUUGGACUCAGUCAAUUUGGAACUUUUUAUAGAAUUUAUCAGGUUAAUGCAUCCCAGACAAAAGCUGAAGUACUCAUUCUGUCAUAAGGAGUACGACAAAUCACUCUGGUCUUAUCAGAUUUAGAUUUAGAUGUGUACAAAUUGCCUGGAUCAAAGGCAUCUAAGCCAUGUAGACAGCCCAUCCAGUGCCUUGGAAUGACUUUUAAGUUGCGAUGAUUCUUUGGUUGUUGUGGUUCCGCUUAUGGAACUUUUCCUAGUUUCUAGAAAACUAGAAACUUGCUUAAUUGAGUUUUCAUGAUGAAUUUUUUAUUUCCAAGUGAAUGGAAUCAAUGAAAAUUCAUCUUGACUCACUUGGUGUUUUCUGAUUUUUCAAAUAAUCAGAAGAGCAUGUGACAUAUAUAAAAUAAAAACACCUUGGACCAGUAAUCUGUAAUAUAUAAGAAAUCCUAAGGCAAAUGGUAAAGUAAAAAUCAGUUAUGGUAUUAUUUAAGUUUUUAUAUAAAGUUGCAAAUUUUGGGAUAAAUGCUUAAACCAUAAAGACUGAAUUAUACUGAUUAAACAUAUUUAAGCAGCAUAUUUUCUUUAUUCCUUGAUGUUGUUAAAGAUGUCUAAUUUUCAUGAUCAUUGCUUGUUUUAAACAGUAAAAAAUAUGUCUAGUCUGAUGCUGGUGUAAGGUGCAUAGUU